rnacentral:tRNA from 1 species
UGUAUAGUGUUUGGCGUAUAAUGGCGGGCUCAUAACCCGAAGGUCGGAGGUUCAAGUCCUUCUCUCGCAACCA